rnacentral:lncRNA from 1 species
GGGCGGAGCGAGCACAUGCGGUAGCAUGCAAGCCGACCAUGGGUGUGUAGCCCAAUACGGACGUGCAUGAGCCGGCCUAGCCAGCGAGUGGGUGCUGGGUACCCCGAUCCAUCAUGGACUGGCAGUCCAUGGCUAAAAUCGUGGACUGCGAGAGCAUUUCUUAAGUGCUUCUCAUGGUCCACCAUGGAUUGAAGGUGGUUU